rnacentral:misc_RNA from 1 species
GAUGAAGAACGUAGCGAAAUGCGAUAAGUAAUGUGAAUUGCAGAAUUCAGUGAAUCAUCGAAUCUUUGAACGCACAUUGCGCCCGCCAGUAUUCUGGCGGGCAUGCCUGUCUGAGCGUCAUUUCAACCCUCAUGCCCCUAGGGCGUGGUGUUGGGGAUCGGCCAAAGCCCGCGAGGGACGGCCGGCCCCUAAAUCUAGUGGCGGACCCGUCGUGGCCUUCUCUGCGAAGUAGUGAUAUUCCGCAUCGGAGAGCGACGAGCCCCUGCCGUUAAACCCCCAACUUUCCAAGGUUGACCUCAGAUCAGGUAGGAAUACCCGCUGAACUUAAGCAUAUCAAUAAGCGGAGGA